CACUUCAAGAUUUAUAUUUAAACCAUUAUCAAAUCCAUACAUAGAACUUUAGCCAUAUUCGCAUGCCUUUAUAUAUACAAUACUAUCAAAAUAGCAAACCUCCCAAAAUAUUAUUCUAUACAUGCCAUAAUGUCUACUAGAGCUUUAAACAAAGAUACCAAAAGGGUUGUCAAAAGAUGCGAUGACUUCGUAACGAAUCCAAUCUUUCCUCAACAAGAUGAUCUAUACAAAACCAAUAAACACACCAAGUGAGUUAUUAACUCAAUAAGUCCUAAGAAAUUUCAAAAAUGUAAUGAUCCAAUUAUCUUAACAAAAAUAAAGUUUCAAUCCAAUAUUAGCCGAAUUCAAACAUGAUAUCACAAGGAAAUCUUAUGUCACAUGUGUACAUUAUGAAUUUGGUACAUUCUUACCCGAAUUCACUAUGUACUCCUACACCAUUUAAUCGCAAAUUGAAAAGACCAUGGUAAAUGUCAUAUGCAUAUCAUUUGCGUAUAUAUAAAUGACAAACAAUGUUCAAUUAAUUAAAUAAAGCACAAACCAAGCCGCUCCAUCUAUCAAUCAAAUCUCCAAUCCAUUUAGAUUCAUUUAUCACUAAUUUAUAUCUUUGUUCAAUUAUAUACUAAUUGAGCCGAUUACCUUUCUCUUCUUUCUCUCUUCCCAAGCAUUAUCUAUUAAUAUACAGAUUAAGAUCAAGUCCCAUGUCUAAUAUCCAGGCACAUUUCAUUACUCCCAGUUUAAAGUUCUAAACUUUUUCAUUUGCACAAGCAAUUCUCCACGAUCGAUAUUGCACACUUAGUGCUCGAUUUAGAGGUCCGCACACAUAGUGCCACGUUUCCCUCGCACACAUAGUGCCACGUUUUCCUCGCACACAUAGUGCUAUGUAAUCUUGCACACAUAGUGCCACGUAGUUUUUGCACACAUAGUGCCACAUAACCUUGCACACAUAGUUCUGAAAUUUCUUAUCUAUAGCUACCACAAUGUCAUAGAUAGGUUGAUCAAUCUCACAUUCAAUUUUCAAAAAUUCAUACAUACCAUGAUUUCUUAUCCAACCUAUUUUAUGUCAUUUAUGUGCAAUAUUAAUCGUAACUUAAAUUACUUAGGAACUUACCUUUUUAGUCGGAUGAACAACUCUGAUCAGCUACUCAACCGCUUUCGCUUUUCCUUUGGCCGAACUUGGCUCCCUUUGAUCUUGAGCUCCAACUAAGCAAAUAAAAUAACUCAAUCAUCGUAGCCCCAAUUUAUAUUCAUUCUUCAUAGACACACACACAGAUUCGGUAUUCCAUCUAGUAUUAACCAAGCCAUAACAAUAUAAAGUUUAACCUUUAAACUUAAUGCACAUUUAAACAUACUUCUCAUCUAUUCCAUUUAUUCGCUACAUAAUACAAGAUAAAUUUCAGCAAUUCACAUUUCCAAAUUUUUCAAUACUAAAUAAUUUGUAAAUUAAUUAGCUAAACUCAUUUUCGGUUAGUAUUCAUCUAAAUACCAUCAAGCUCAUAUACUUCUAAUUUCAUGAGUUCAACAUCUUAAUGUCCAUUCAAAUCACUCAAAUAAAUUUCUAAUACAUAAUUUAAGUUACUCAAACAAUCUAAAUUUAAAUUCGGCAAACACCAUACCAAACUAUUUUAAUCAAAUUCUCCAUAGCACAUAAACUAAAAUAUGCACAUUAAAACUUGCUCAAAUUUUCAUUAUGCCUUUCACUCCUAAAAUAUAAAAAUAUAAAUAUUAUUCCUCCAUCCAUAUCUCGGUCAAUUGCUCAAAUUACUCCAUAACAUGAAUUUUGCAGUUUAACUAAUCGACCAUGACUCAUUCGGCCUUAAUACUUAUUUGAAUCAUUUCUCAUAAAAGAAAAUAGAAAAAAAAAUGAAAUGAACAUUUUAUUUAAACCACAUAUAGCCGAAUGCACAAAGUAUUACCCAACUAACAAUUCAAUAAGAUUUACCUCAUUCUAACAUCUACUUAUUCAAUUCAACAUGAAAACAACCUCAAAUUCCUACAUCUUGAUACACGGCCUAGUUGUAAUACCCCAUACCCGUACCUGAGACCGGGAUAGGAUACAAGGCAUUACCGAAAUUUUCAGAAUAAUUUCAAUUAAUUAAUAUUAUUUAGUAUUCAUGUUUCAUGUUUCAUGUUUCAUGUAACAUCCUUUUCAUAUAUUCAAUUCAAAAUAUCAUAUAAAAUACGAUACAAUACUUAAAUUGUUAUAUUUACAUGCUCAUUCAGGUAUCCGAACCUACCUGACUAAAUUGCAGAAAUACCAAGAUUUAGGGGCAUAUUGGUAAUUUACCAUUUUCCCAAAUUUCACCCAAUCUUAAAUUGAUAAUUUCAUUCAAUUUAUUAAUUUAGAUAAUAAAACAAUUUAUUUCCUUCAAUUUAGUCAUUUUUGACAUUUUUACAAAAUUACCCCCUAAAGUUUUACUUUUAUUCAAUUUAGUCCAUGAGCUUAAAACAUGCAAAUUAGCCAUGCUAACUGAAUAUUCAUAUAUAUUUUUCCUCCUCCUCCUCUCCAGUCCACAUCCUUAAUGUAUAUAACAUUCUUGUAAGUACGAUUUCACAAUUUACUUAUUAAUGCUCACAUCAAGUUGUUCACACAAGUCAUAGUCACUCAAUUAUUUAUAAUUCGAGCUACAGAGCUCAAAAUUAAGAUCUGUAAAUUUUCCCUGAAACAAGACUCACAUAUCAUUCCACCAUAAAAUUUUUAGAAUUUUUUCUUUAGCCAAUUAGUACAGUUUAUUCAUUUAAGUUCCCCUGUUUCACUAUCCAUAGUUCUGACCUCUCUUCACUAAAAAUUAAUUAUAUCACAGUAAAAAACUCGGAUAAUGUUUACAUUGAUUUCUAUUGAAAAUAGACUCAUUAAGAAUUCUAAGCAUAUAAAUUUGAGACUCUAAUUAAUUUUAUCCAAUUUUUAGUGAUUUUCCAAAGUCAAAACAGGAGAACCCGAAUUCAUUCUAACCUUGUCUCACAAAAUUAAGUAUAUCUCAUAAUUUACAAAUCCAUUGCUUACACCGUUUCUUCUAUGAAAAACUAGACUCAAUAAGCUUUAAUUUAAUAUUUUAUUCAUCUUCUAAUUCGAUUUAUACAAUUUAUGGUGAUUUUUCAAAGUUAGUCUACUGCUGCUGUCCAAUAUUGUUUUAGUUCAAGAUGUUUAUUACCAUUUUUCCUCUAAAUUUCACAGGUCAUACAAUUCAGUCCUUGCUCAAUUAGCCAAUCUAUUAAGCUAAUUUUUCUCAAUUAAUAUUUUAUUCCAUCAUUCUAAACUAUUACACAACCUUUGAAAAUCAGAAUUUUAACACUAAACCUUAAUUCACAACUUUUUCACAAUUAGGUCCUAAAAUCAAUUUCUAUUGAAAUUACUUGAUAAAAUCAUCAAACAACAAAAUCAAAGCUUCAAAUUCAUUUUAUUUCAUCAUAAACAGCUAACACUUAUCAAUGAUAGCUUUUAAUUUUGUUCAUAAAAUCAAAAACUAAUGAAUUAAACACUUGGACCUAAUUGUAAAAGUCACAAAAACAUAAAAAUCUCAAAGAAAAGGGAAAGAAUUGAACUCACAUAUGUCAAAGUAUGAAAAACCAGCAGCUUUA
rnacentral:lncRNA from 1 species